AGUGAACGCUGGCGGUAUGCUUUACACAUGCAAGUCGAACGGCAGCGCGGUCUUCGGCCUCGCUGCGAGUGGCGAACGGGCGAGUAAUGGAUCGGAACGUGCCCAGCAGCUGUUGAUAGCCGGGCGACAGCCGGAAUAAUACGCCAUUCGACCUGACGGUGUAAGCGGGGGAGCGGAAGGUCUUGCGACAUUGCACCGGCCGAUGACGGAUUAGCGAGUUGGCUGGGUAAAGGCUUACCAAGGCGACGAUCCGUAGCUGGUCUGAGAGGACGACCAGCCACACUGGGACUGAGACACGGCCCAGACUCCUACGGGAGGCAGCAGUGGGGAAUUUUGGACAAUGGGGGCAAGCCUGAUCCAGCCAUGCCGCGUGCGGGAAGAAGGCCUUCGGGUUGUAAACCGCUUUUGUUCGGGAAGAAAACCUCUGGGCUAAUACCCCGGGGGGAUGACGGUACCCAAAGAAUAAGCACCGGCUAACUACGUG
rnacentral:rRNA from 1 species